UAGGGGAAUGUCUCUGCCUCUAGGCCAUUCAACAGACCAUGGGGUGGGGAAGAUGCAGGCUUGUCCUCAACACUGUGACUGUCUGGGCCACCUAAGCUCCCUCUCUACCCAGCUGAGCCACAUAGAGAGAAUGAAGCCUGCCAUUUUGCACACAGUUUUGCCUUUUCGGCUGUUUAUUUUGCUAAGACUCUUAAACCUGUCAGCGAAGCGGUUUCCAGCCCAGUCUCUGUGGUAAUAAUCUCCCUUUCUAAGAGAUAAGCACUCCGAGUGAGACAGAUUGGAAGACAAACUAACACACCAAAGUUGCUGAGUACACACGACUCUUUA
rnacentral:lncRNA from 1 species